rnacentral:rRNA from 1 species
CGCAUGUGACCGUACCAUACUGUUGCCUCGGCGGGGUCACGCCCCGGGUGCGUCGCAGCCCCGGAACCAGGCGCCCGCCGGAGGGACCAACCAAACUCUUUUCUGUAGUCCCCUCGCGGACGUUAUUUCUUACAGCUCUGAGCAAAAAUUCAAAAUGAAUCAAAACUUUCAACAACGGAUCUCUUGGUUCUGGCAUCGAUGAAGAACGCAGCGAAAUGCGAUAAGUAAUGUGAAUUGCAGAAUUCAGUGAAUCAUCGAAUCUUUGAACGCACAUUGCGCCCGCCAGUAUUCUGGCGGGCAUGCCUGUCCGAGCGUCAUUUCAACCCUCGAACCCCUCCGGGGGGUCGGCGUUGGGGAUCGGGAACCCCUAAGACGGGAUCCCGGCCCCGAAAUACAGUGGCGGUCUCGCCGCAGCCUCUCCUGCGCAGUAUUUUGCACAACUCGCACCGGGAGCGCGGCGCGUCCACGUCCGUAAAACACCCAACUUCUGAAAUGUUGACCUCGGAUCAGGUAGGAAUACCCGCUGAACUUAAGCAUAUCAAUAAGCGGAAGAAA